CGUCAGCUCGUGUCGUGAGAUGUUGGGUUAAGUCCCGCAACGAGCGCAACCCACGUAUUUAGUUGCUAACGGUUCGGCCGAGCACUCUAAAUAGACUGCCUUCGUAAGGAGGAGGAAGGUGUGGACGACGUCAAGUCAUCAUGGCCCUUAUGCCCAGGGCGACACACGUGCUACAAUGGCAUAUACAAUGAGACGCAAUACCGCGAGGUGGAGCAAAUCUAUAAAAUAUGUCCCAGUUCGGAUUGUUCUCUGCAACUCGAGAGCAUGAAGCCGGAAUCGCUAGUAAUCGUAGAUCAGCCAUGCUACGGUGAAUACGUUCCCGGGUCUUGUACUCACCGCCCGUCACACCAUGGGAGUUGAUUUCACUCGAAGCCGGAAUACUAAACUAGUUACCGUCCACAGUGGAAUCAGCGACUGGGGUGAAGUCGUAACAAGGUAACCGUAGGAGAACCUGCGGUUGGAUCACCUCCUUU
rnacentral:rRNA from 1 species